rnacentral:tRNA from 1 species
UGCAGUGUGGCCUAGUGGUUUGAGUGGUGGACUAUGACUCUGCAGUCCAGGGUUCAAUUCCCAGCUCGGUCA